CUCAUCAAUGGACUCCUGACGUAUACGAAGGAGUGCGGUUCAUUUGAGAAAUUCCUAUCUUUCUCUAUAUAUAUUUUCAAUUUAAUGGAGUGAACAGUAGGAACCGGAUUGUGAACCGUAGGAUCUGGAUAAGUGUGAAAACAAGGUCCAGAAGAAUUAACAGUAUGGAUUCCCUUGUUUAGAAAAGUAGAGAUAGAUAUAUGUUUGCUCAAACUCCAAAAUCCCCGAUUAGACCCCAGGUGGAUCUACCCUUGAGUGUAAACGGUGACUUACCCCACUAGACCUCAGGUGGUUGCACCGCUGUUGACAAAUACAUGCAUUCUUUGAAAUGUAGAAAACCAUGCAUUUUUAAUAUGUAAAAUUUAAUUUUUUAAUAAGGAUAGUUAAGCAAAGCAAGCUUUAUUUAUUUUUUAAUUAGAAUGGUUAAGUAGUAAUAUUUUUGUCUAUUUGAUUUGUUUUGCCUUUAGUAUAUUGGAGGGAGAUAUUGCAAUUUGUGGAAACGUAGUGAAGGGCAAGGUCAUGACAGAAGUAAGGCAGGCAAUGGAAGUUAAAGAGGGGCCGAGGAAGAGGAAAGUAGGAAACAAGAAAGCUAAAAAUGCAAAGAGAAAACAAAAAAUGAUGCCUCAAGGUGUUCAAAAGAAGGUGAAUAUUGACAAAAGAAUGAAAAAAUUGUUUCAGAAAAGAGCGAGGGAGUACAACUCAGAUGAUGAUGAUGUGGAGGACGAGGAGAAGCUUGAGCAGUCUGUACCUUCGACUCGAGAUAAGUUUAAGAAAGAUGAAUUC
rnacentral:lncRNA from 1 species